rnacentral:lncRNA from 1 species
GUCCGAUUGGUACAGCCUUUAUUGUUUCUCCAGCAUUUUCCAGAAGAACGGUGUCACUCGAGGGCCGCAGGGCACAGGGGGGAGUAAAAAAUAACAUAAACAAACUCAACAGAAACGCAGGAGGGUGGCAAGAGGGGCUGAGAUCAGGGGUCCGGGGCGGAGAGGUGGAGGACCCGGGGCCGUCAGAGCCUCUUAGCUUUCAGCCACCAGGACGGAGAAUUCUGCGAAAGACAACGACAAAGCAGUGAGCGAGAGUGGACAGCACGGAAGAGACUGGGCCCCUGCACCGGGCUUUCUCUCGGUUCCCACGUCUGCUGCCGAAGACCUGGAGUGAAGGCAGGAGUGAGUGUGGGAAUGAAUGAAUGAACGAAUGGAGAUGGGAAAUGACGAGCCUACCCUAUCUUUUGCUUCAUGGUGUCAUGAAGCAAAUUAUUAACAAUAAUAACUUAGUAUUAAAUUAUUAAGAACUACAAAUCAUCGUAUUAUUACACAAAUUAUUAAUGACUACCAUAAUACUAGCAAUGAUAAUUUUCUGAGUGUUUAUCGUAGGCCAGUCACGACUCUAAACACUUGAUAUACAUCUUAUUUGACUCUGACAAUAAUCUUAUAAUGUGCAUUUUAUCAUUAUUUCCAUUCUACUGAUGGGGAAACUGAGGCUCAGAGUCCGGCAAUUUUUACAAGGUCAUAAAGCUAGGAAGAAGCAGGGCCAGGAUGCAGACCCAGGUCUGUCCGACUUUGGACCGGGAGCCCUUUCUCACCUGGUCGUUCCCCAGCUGCCCAUCAGCAUCAGCAGCAGAAUCUGAGAAGACACAGGCUCCCAGGCCAUUGUCCCGGAAUUGACGUAGGAGGGCUGGAGGAGGGGACGACUACUUUAUUGACUGAAAGGUGAUUCUGGUGAGCGGCCAGGUUCAAGAACUUCCUCCUCAGGGACCCAGCAAGACCCCAGAGGAGCCCCGAGCACGUGGAGACCUCUCCAUGCUGCCCAGAGGGCCGGGCGCGUACAGGUGCUGGGAAGGAGUUGGGCUCCGUCUCACCAGCUCCUCACUUAACGCUCCUGACAGACCCUCAGGUCAUGGGGAGUCAUUGUCCCCAUUUUACAGAAGGGAAAACUGAGGCCAGGAGAGGAGAAGUGACUUUCAGAGCCUCAAGGAUUAUAAGUGGCUGAGCCGGGAGUCAAGCCCUGGGGCCCAGGCUCCUCCCCAUGGGCCUGCCUUCAAGGCCACGGUGGGGGAGGCCGGGUGCUCGCCUGCCCCUGCCUCCCCAGUGGUGUCCGUCCGCCAGGCUUCACCUCCUGCUGAUUAAUGAUGUCAGAGACCAGCAUUGGCACUAGGGGGCAAUUGAGUCCCUCUCGUGGAUCCAGCUCCUCCUGAAGGAACAAAGGAAUGGCCUGAACCGGGUGAGGGGAGACAUGGGUAGCAGGAGAUAGUCCCUGCCCGGCAGGAGCUUCUGGUCCAGUCUGAGAAGAAGACCAUAUCUGGCAGGAAGUGCUCCACGCUGCGAGCCUUCCUCUGAGCCCCCAGCACGCUGAGUGCAUUCCUACCUCAGGAUCUUUGCACCUGCUGUUCUCUCCGCCCAGGACACUCUCCAGACUGUCUCAUGGGCCAGCUGUUUCUCACCUGGUCUCAGCUCGAGUGUCCCUCUUCCAGGGGCCUUCUCUGACCACUCUGGCGAAAGUAGUGACCUGCCUGACUGGGGUCCUCGUUGCUAUGACCAUUUUUUGUUAUAUUCACAGCACUUAGCACCCUGCAAAUAAUUUUGAGUACAUGUUGCUUAUUCCUUUGUCGUCUGCCUCUCUCGUUGGAACACAGAGCUCCCACCCGCCUUGUUCAUGCCUCCAUCCCACCACCUGGCUCAGCACCAGACACCGAGGGGCCACUGUGUCCGGGAAAGGAUGAGGGGACACAGAGACUUGUCUUUCCCAGGGAGAAAAGCUGCCUUCUGAGGAAGCAGCGAAGCCUUCAGAGGGAAGGUGGGUCUGAGAGAGUCCCUGAGAAGAUGCAGGAUUCCCACAGCAAGAAGCAGAGGGAGGAAGGGACUGAGGUGGGGGCCUUCCACUGUCGAGGCCCAGAGGGCAGGAAACAGUGGGGUGUAUUUGGGAAAGACCCGUAGCCAUGCUGGGCUGGCGUCUUGUGUGACGGGACUGGCACAGCUGAAGAAGCCUGGGCCUGAAAUCUGGCUCUCCCACUUACGGGCUGUGUCACCUCAGAAAAGGCGCCUGGCCUCUCUGAGCCUCCUCCUCAUCAUCCGUAAAAGGAGGAGAAGUCCGCUCCGCUUCUUGGGUCGGAGAUGGUCAGAAGAGACGUGUCCUGGCCCACAGGAGGUCCUCGGCUCCCGCCGUGAGCUCCUCUGCCCGUUUCCCAUGUCCUCUCAACUGCAGGGUCCUUACUGUGGCGGUCAAAGGGGACUGCCCAGCAGCCGGCUCUUCUGAGACCUUUAUUUGGAAUCAAGGGGGUCCAGGGAGGGUCUUCUCUGUUGUUUUUCUCUCCAGGAGACGAGAGAGGACAGAAGGAGUUUGCCACCCUCUGCCACUGUGUGUCUCUGAGAUGCCAUGUCCCCUCCCUGCAGCAGGGGCCCCAGGUAAGUCCCCAUGGCCUCUAGAAGAUGCAUUGUCAUAAUGUGGGGACAGCACGGGGAGGGGGGCAGUAUGGAGAGUUGGGGUCCAGGAGCAGCCUUGCCCUACUAGGUGGGAAAUGUACCUCUCGGGCAUCACUUCCUCCACUGGUCAGUGGAGUGAAGUGAGGGGGCAGUGACAAUUCCUUGUGAGAGACAAACAAGACACUGGAUGUGAAGUGGCUUCGAAAAGGCUGUAAAAAGUAUCUGGGGCUCCCUGAGGUUCGCCCCACCCUCCCAGAGUCAGUAUGAAGCACUUACGUAAAAACCUCCCGGUGUGAUUUCUUAGUUCUCACUAUUGGACCAGGGUCAUGUAAAUGUUGGCCUUAGGGAUGCUGGGAGAAGGGCAUCCAGAAUUCUCUGGGCUAUUGUUGCAACUUCAGUACAGCUAGAAUUAUUUCAAAAUAAAAGAGGGAAAAAACAAAACCAAAUCCGCCCAUGCUGUCGUCAUGGAAAUAACCUGGCGCCGACCCCCGCCGGGUGGAGGACAUGUACCCCGGCUCCUCACUUUUCUGGGGUUUGACCUGGGAAAUGGACACCACCCUCUCCUCUCCCCAGGCUGUCCCUGAGGACAGGAAGGCAGGUGACCCAGAUGUGGGGGCCUAGGCAUGACUCCAGGUGGGAGAGAGGGAGGGUCCCCCAGGGUAGCGGGCUGAGUGGUAACAGUGAGUGGCAGGGAUGGGGCCCUUCUAACAGCCCGCCCCUCGGGCCAGGUGUCAGAACAUCUGCUCUCUCAGCCUCGGGCUCCCAUGGUCCUGCAGACCCUGACUAAGGCAGCUGGUUCUUUUGAGAUGCUUUUUUAUCAUUAGUACUUUGACGAGUAUUGUCCAUUGUUAUAGAAUUUAAGAAUCCUUAUUCCUUGAAUGCCUACGUGGGAAGUGUUUUGCAUUUAUUAUCUCAUUAAAUUCUCACGACUACUCCAUGGGAAGGACACUCUCGUCUGCACUUUACAGUUGGGGAAACUGAGGCCCGAGAGUUAAGUAGCUGGACCAAGAUCACCCAGUGGACAUGAUUCAAGCACGAUGCUCCCAGGCUUCCUUCUUUACCCCGGACGUUUCUGACCUACUGUAACCUAGGUGGAGAGUGACUCAGGAGCCGGCUCAGAUAUCGCCAGCCCCUGACUGUCAUAUUAGCCCUUUUUAAUUCGCUUCAUGGGACUUAGUGCUCUCUGAAAUGAUCUAAUUUAUGUACUUAGUUGUUUUUGUUGGUCUCCCCUACUAGAAUGUAAACUCCAGGAGGGCAGGGAGCCCUGUCUGUCUUGUUCACCACUCUCCUAGCACUGGCAUAGGCCUGGCGCAAAGCACGUGCUAGUGAACGAAGGCCAGAUGGAUGGAUGGAUGGACGGUCGGACGGAUGGAUGGACGGAUGGACGGACAGACGGACAGAUGGAUGGAUGGAUGGAUGGAUGGCUCAUGAGUCCUCCUGAGGGUUCAACAAGUACCCAUUUACCUCAUAUAAUUUUCACGACAGUCCUGGGGGGUAAGUGGGACGAUUCCCAUUUUAUAUCUGGGGAGAUGGAAGCCUGGAGAGGGGACGUGUCAGGGCACGUGGAUAAUAAGAGGCAGAGGCAGCACUCGGCCUGGGGUCUCAGGACAGCCCUCCCUGGAUUCGCAGAGGCCACGUCCCAGAUUGGGUGGGAGCCUGAACUCUCUCCAGCUUCAACCUGCCAUUUAAUCCAGGACACUGGGCCACAGCCGGUCUCGCCUGUCCUUGGGCACCGAGCUGCUCUGUCCUGGGAUAAAGGAGGCACGAGUCCGUCCUUGAUGCCAGCUCACGGAGAGAUUAUCAACAGAGGAAGUUGGUCCUGACGGUUUCCCGACCUGCGCCGACGUCCCUAACACUCACCCUAGAAAUUACGGGUUCUCGGGCUGCUCAUCAGCAAAGAGCCCAUUAGUCACUGAGGCAUUUGGUGCUGUCAGCGUGAGAGGGACCAAGGGACGCUGACCAAGGGACCCUCUGGUGCUGAAAAGUCAGGCAUUUUGGAGCCUGACUAUGGGAGAUGUUUUGGACCUGUGGGGUUUUUGAAAGCAGCCCCCUCCGCCCCUGGGGUCGGCCCUGAAGCAGCCAGGAUGUCACGAUGGCCUCGUGCCCUGGCUUUCUGCAGAGAACGCAGGAUUCUAAUUUUAUCCUCCCGGAACCUGGAGCAGGGCACUUUGUAGACAAAUUGAGGACAGAGGUCACCUACUCUGUACUUUCCGUGUCUCCCUGAGGGCAGAGUGCUUAGGAAGCAGUCAAUUAACGAACAGCCCUCCCAUCAAAAAACAUCUCCUCUAAAACAUCCAGGUCUCUCCUUAAAGAAAAACAAAUGAAGAAACGUACCAAGACUCUGUAAAGUCUAGGUCCACCAAUUUGGCGGUAGGAUGCUGGGAGGGGAAUGGGGCAUCGAGGGUGGGGUUCUAGUCUUGGCUCUGCCAUCCACUCAAGUCCAUGGACAAGACACCUCACCCUCCGGGUCCUGGUUUUCUCAUCCGUGCAGUGUCGGGUCUAGAACACAGCUCUCCAGCUCUCCCACAGCAUUUGGAGCAAGGAGGCUGAGAGUGAAUUCCCAACUCCCAUUCUUGCUUCUGUGACCUUGGACUAGAUCCUUUACCUCCUUGUGCCUCAGUUUCCUCAUCUGUAAGAUGGAGCUCCUUGGGGUGCUCAGAGGAAGCAGCCUUAAAGCUCUGGGUCACACGCCUGAUACACAGCCAGCACUCAGCCUUUGGUACCCGUUGUUAUCAAGAUGCUUCUAUAGUUCCAGCCACCUUAAAACCAAGCCUAUAAGAUGCCUGGCCACUGCCUGGCACAGAGCGAGGACCCUGCAAAUGGCAUGGUACCUUUAUUUCUUGGCCUUGUCAUUGUUAUCCCCUGUCAUUUCCUGUCCCCGCCCUGGCACCUGCCAGCAACCUUCCAGCAGCCCUGGGGCUGGGUCUGAAUCUUGUUUCAUCACCUCCUGGCUGGGUGGCCUCAGAUCACUACUUUACCUCUCUGAGCCUCAGUUUUCUCAUCUGCAAAGUGGGUAUGAUGCGGCCUACUUGCACACCUCUGGGGAAGAUGAGAUGAGAGAAUACAGAGAGAUGCCUGGCAUACAGUAGGUGGUCUAUAAAUGUUAGUCUCGCCUCCCUUGUGUCUCCUCAGCACAACUGUCACAGGUUGGGGCUUUGAAAUAACAACAAUAUCCAUAAAAAUCCUGAAACGAAGACAAGGAGGAUGUAAAGAGCCAGCGGACACGGGAAGCCUAAAGGACCGGCAGCUGAGCUCGUGGAAGUUUCUGACGCUGUCUAUCGCAUCUGAGUCAGGAUCGCCCCUCCAGCACACCCAUCCGUGGAAACUUAGUCUCUGACCCUCAGUUUCCACAUCCGUAGAAUGGGGAUAUGAGAGCACCUGCUGUAGGGUUGUAGUGAGGACAGCAUGGGAUGAUGGAUGAGAAGUGCCCAGUACAGUGGUGCUGACAGAGGGUCACGCUAGAUCAAUGCUCACUGCUGACGUGCGAGGGAGAGUGCCCCUCUGGAGGGACCCAGCGCCCUUCCUCCUAUGAGCACCCAGGCACAGCCCUACCUCUGCAUGGACGCCUCACCCGAGGCCCCCGGGGCCAGUUUGCUGGUUUCUCCAUCAUCCAAUCAGAGAGGUGAGAGGUAGGGAUGGGGGGAGGGAGCAGCCGAUGGAGGGUCAGAGGAUGGGAGGACUCAGUCCUUUCCUUUCCCUUAGGAGACUGAAAUUAGCCUAAUUAGGUCUGUCCCAGUCCUGGGUGCUGUGGGAAUGGACAAAUUUAGAAGCUAUUGACAGGUGAGCCCAGCACACGCUGAUAGCCUGAAAUGAAACUGAGACAGACAUUAGUCAGCGCCUGGAAGGCUGCUUCCUCCCCUCUGUCGUGAUGACCAGACAAGGCACCGGUCUGCUGGUUUAUCACCUCGCCUCGAAAUAGCUCCAGGGCUGGGCUUCUUAUAAAUCCGUAUUGCAAAGAGGGAUCACUUUCCCACCCCACAGAACCGGGAGGCAGGGUCAUUCGGGGUCGAACCAGAGGGCAUCAACAGUUCCGGGGGCUCACUGUGUGCCAGGCACUGCCCUGUGUGUCAUCCCAUUUCAUCCUUGCCAGCUCUCUUACCCCCAUUUUACUUACAGGGAAACUGAGGCUCAGAGGCACUCAGCCAGGAAGAUUCUGACUCAGGCGUGGCUCAUGCCGGGGCGAGUCUCUUUCUUAGAGGUUGGAGUGGAAGCGCCCUGGGUUCUGACUUGAGCCGUGACCCCCCCAGAGGCAGGAAGGGAUGUCACCUGCCCCCACUACUGCUCCUCAUCACAGGAGGGGAGUUAUGUGAGCAGGGCCGCCCCUCCCCCUUUGCCAGCCUCAUCCAGCGCAGCGGAAGGCCGCAGUUAGGGGGAGUCCAGGCAGGAAUUAAGGCGAGCAUCCUGCAAAGCACAGCAACCAUUUACAACUCGAGGAUCUCAACUCAGCUCGGGGGAGGGAGUGGCAGAGUCAGGAGACCCAGGUGCCAUUCGGCCAAGGUUUGCUAUGUGACUUUGGCACUUCAUGUCUACUGGGCCUCAGUUUCCACAUCUCUCAGUGGGGCUCACAGGCUCUGUCCCCUGAUCAUAGGGGGCCGGUGUGAGGGUACAGUGAGGUGGAACAGAACGCUGCGCACCUUAGGGCCCUGCCCUCAGGACUGCGGGCUGGCCCCAGUAUGCUCAUCCUGCCCUGCUUGGAAAUCAGAUCGCACAGGGGCCGGAGGGCUGGCAUUACAGGGAGGCGGCAGGGCUCCCCUGCCCUCCUGCUCACUUUCCUCCCAUCUGGGACUCGAUUUCCUUUUCUUCCGGGACUGGUGUUCCAGUACUUCCUAAGGGUUUUGAGGGGGCUUACAAGAGAAAGCAUACAUACAAAGGAAGAGGAGAGGAAUCAUCUCCAGAACGUUCACUCAGUUCAAGCAGUACCCCUGUGAGGGGUGUUCCUACCCCGCUCUGGGGUGAGGGGAUGGAUGCCCAGAGAGGAGAAGCCGUGGCAGCUCACAGGGCUGGCAGCACGCCUUCUGCCCUCCCGCGUUCAGGUGUUUAAGCCUCAGGGCUCCCUCGCUCCCCACUCCUGCCCCUGUUAAAUAGGCUACUUAAGGAUAAAACAGAAGGGAUUUUGCCAGAAGGAAGCAGAAAAGAUGAAUGCCUUCAGGCACGUGAGUUGAGCAGCCUGCAACGGUCAGGCAAUAAUUAUGACUAAAUUUUGCAGCAACGGAAGCAAAAAGCAAACCACAGGAUCUCGAGCUGGAAGAGGCUUGAAGCGUAGGAAACUGGAUCUGCCGCCGGGAUCGGGUUUCAGGGAACCGUAACCAGGAUGGCGUGUGUGCGUGCGUGUGUGCGAGGGUAUGGGGUGUGCAGAUCUUGUCUACAGCAAGGUGGGGAAGGGGGGUGCUAUUUGGAGCCAGAGUGUCAAGGUUUGAAGCGGGCCUGAGUGCUGAAUAGCUGGGUGAUCCUGGGCAAGUGGCUCCCCUUCCCUGGGCCUCAGUUUCCUUGUCUGUCCAGUGUGGGUGUAUUUUGUGGAGCUGCUGUGGGGACUGCCUGAGCUAAAAGGGGGAAGGCCGUGUGCAGCCCCUGGCACACAGGAUGUGCCCGGGGGUGGUAACUGCUCUUCCUGCCAGCCUGCAUGUUCCAUGCGGGCAGGCGUUGGGUGUGGAAAGCCCAGGCUGGGGACACGGGCCCACGUGAGAGGCAAGGAAGCACAGGGUCCUGGCUCUGCUCCUGAGUGACUCUAGGCAUGUUACUUAACCUCUCUGUGCCCCGGUUUCCUCAUCUGUAAAACAGGGAGAGUGAUGGCAUCCACUUUCUAGGAUUAUUGUAAGGCAGUGGUUCUCAAAGGGUGGCCCCGGGACCAUCAGCUCCACCUGGGAACUUGGUAGAAAUGCAAGCGCUUGGGCCCCACCCCAGACUUAAGGAAUCAGAAACUCUGGGGUGGGGCCCAGCCAUCUGUGCUGUGAAAAGCCGGGGGGUUCUGACGCUGGGCCCUGUAUGUGAGCCACCCUUGUGAAGGACAAGUACUCAAGAAGGAACCUGCCACUUAGCAGUCUCGCCUGCUAUUUGUGCCCAGUUUUGCAACUGUGGCUGGGUUUUUGGCUACCUUCCACCUCUGUCCAGCUUCUGUCUCCUUUUCUGCCUUAAAACCCCCUUUUACCAGCUCUGCCCCAGCCUUUCAAGGGUGGCCUUCCAGAAUCAAUCGACCACAUCUGUAAACGUCUUUGCGCUUCCUGGAAGCAGUUGCCCCAGAGACGGGAAUGCAAAGGGUCAUCAGGAGGACUUUGUCUUUCUGCCCCUUCCCUUCCAUCUUGGGCCCUGAAGGGCCUGGCAAAUAUCACUCACCUUCAGAAGGGCAAACAGCUGGGGAGGGAGGCAGACCCUGCUCUGGAAUCCCCCAGCACCUGCUACACGCCAGCACCCAGCCCACACGGGUCUGCAGCCUUGACCUGCAGACCUCUCCCUGUGUACCGCACCUCCUCAUCAUUGGAUCUCCAGAGCUGGACACAUAUUCACUCAUUCAUUCAUUCAACAAACUUUUCUUGUGCCCCUCCUAUGUGGCAGGGCUUAUUCCAGGUGUUGGGGUCAGAAUCAAACGAAACAAAGUUCCUGCUCCCGUGGAGCUGACGUCCCAGUAGGGGAGAAAGAAGCAUCAGUGAAUAAGAAAAUCAUCUCGUGGUGGAUGCUUCCUAAACUCUGAAUGAAGCAGGCAGCAUAGGCCAUGUGCUUUGGAUCUGGACAGACCCGAACUCAGAUCUUGACCUUAUCUCUUCCUAGGCAUGGGAGUUUAGGCAAACCCUUAACCUCUCUGAGCCUCAGUGUCCUCAUCUGUAAAAUGGAGACGGUAACAGGAUCCGCCUCACAGAGAGCUAGGAGGAUGAAAUGAGUGACUUGCUAAGCCGGGUGCCUGGCUCACAGUAACAGCUCCCCCAGGUUAGGUGUCAUUGCUAUUGAUAUUCAAGGUCACACGGCUGGGCCAAAGGGCAGAGCUGGUCCUGUCUAGAGGUUUAUUCACUGGGACAUCCAGGGCAUCUCAGAGCUGGAAGGGACCCCUGUGACUGGCGGGUGAUUUGACCCCUGGUUUUAAAGAGCAGGCACCGGAAGGUCAGAGGAGCUCUGUGACUUGCCCCAGGUCCCGCUGGGAGUUGAAGGCAUCCUCCAGCUGGUGGGCAGGGCUCCGGCCCUUUGGCCUUUAGAGGGAGAGGCGGCAAAGCCGAGCGCCUGGAAUAGAAUUUCCUGGGCCCACAAAGGGCUCUGCCUCCCAUCUUGCUGCCUGUUGGGCAUCAUCACAUCCAUCCUGCCCAUCAUCCUCCAGAAAAAGGACUGUGUUUGGGGGUGGCAGUGGGGAAGGGGAGGUGUCUGCAUCUUCCCACCCCAGAAGCACAAAGAGUGGGGCCCCACUGCCUCGGGCGAUCUGUUCUUAUUGCCCAUUUCUUCUCUUGCUCCCCUGUUUUGUUCUGGCCUGACCUCCAGUCCUUCACCAGGUCGGCCUGAGCCUGGACGGUGCUGGCAGACAGACCUGGGUGUCAGUCCAGUGACACCGUGGGUACUGGAGCCCUCUUUCUGCUCCUCUCUUUUCUGCACCUUUGUCCUCUGUCAUCCCAAGGUCAAAUGGGGUGACGUGUGCAGACCCCAGCAUGGGGCUGGGCACACGUUCCAUGCCCUGCUACAAUUCUCUCUCCGCUCCCACCCCCAGCAAACCAAUCUUCCUGCCUCUUUCUAAACACCCCUGAACUUCCCAGCCUCAGUGUCUUUGCUGAUACCAACCAGCCUGCACCUCCCUCCUUGGCCGCUGCCAGCCUGCAGACCUCCUGCCCACGGCCUCCAGAGCUGCAGGAAUGCCCGCUGUCUCCCCCUCCACAGAGCUCGUCUGGACCUCCCGGCCUCUGCCUGGGACCCCUGUUCAUUUGUGUCUAUGCACAGAGCUGCCAGCAACAUGCAGACAGAACGGGAUUGCAGCUGCCAUUUGUGGGGCGCUUGUGGGGCACUGGGCUCGACACUCCCAUACAUUGUGUCCUGGAAUCCUCGACAAUCCCAGGGAGGUAUGUGUUGUCCUACCCAGUUUACAGAUGAGGAAACCGGGGCUCAGGGGCACCCAGCCGGGAAAUGGUGCCUCUGGGAGCUGGGCCUGAUUCAUCUUUAUCUCCCCCACUGCCCGGCACAGGGUCGCUACUCAGUAAAUGUCGGUUGGGUCUGUUGGAAGAGCUGUGUUAGCUCUUUAAGAUCUGAGCAUGGCAGGGAGGGAGGGAGGGAGGGGAGCAGGGAAGUGGCCAGGAUCUGGCCUGGUUUUUCUUCAUCGUGGAGUUAGUUGCUCAUGAGCAGUCAGCCAUGAAGACCCUGCCUAGGGCUUCCGAGCUGUGACAUAUUGGCUGCAAAUAAAAAUGGGAGGCAGGUCUGGAGGCCUGGGCUGGGGUCAUGGCAGGAACCCAGGCUCCGGGAGAGCUAUCUGAUAAGAGGCUUGGUGAGGAUGGGGGUGAGGGGUGAUGGGCCACUGACUGGAACAAGACCAGCCAGCAAUUUCUCUCUAGCACCCUCUGCUCCGGCUGUUUUAAAACCACCUCCCUCCUUCCCAGCCAGGAGAAGGGCAGGUGGCAUCGGAAGGCCAGAGGACUGGCUGCAUCUGACCUUGCUGGAAUUUCUGGCAUUAAACUUUAAUACACUACAUCCGUAUUUAGAAUCCUUGUACCUACCUUUCCCAAAGCAAUUUUGUGUCUAUAGCCACUCAAUUUUCACAACAAGCCCUAGCUGGUCUUAGGAUAAAGCUGUGCACCCUAUUUGCCAGAGACAAGAACCUCAGUGUGGUGAGGUGACAUGGUCAAGGUCACAGCUGGUGACGGGCAGAGAGGAAGCAGAGCCUGAGGGCACUGGACUUUGACAGAUGUUUACUAAGUGCCUGCUUUGGGUCAAGUAAGGGCUAAAUGCUGGGGAUAAAAGGAUGACUACAACCUAGUCCCUAUUUUUUAAAAUUUAGUUAACAAACACAUACAUAGCACUCUCUCUGUGCCGGACACUAGUGUAAACACCUUACACGCUGACACAUCUAAUUCUCAAGACAAUUCUGUAAGAUAAGAAUGAUCAUUAUCCUCAGUUUGGAGAUGAGAAAACUGAGGCCCAGAGUAGUUUCUUGAAUUGCCCAAAGUGACACAGCUAGAAAGUGGCAGGGCUGGGAUUUGAACCCAGACAGCCUGGCCCAGAGGCCUAGCACUGACACACAGUUUUCUCUUAGAUUGACAGCAAGGACUAUCACGGGAAUGAACGCAGCAAAGCAUGUUGGAAAGAGUUUUUCAGACUUGGCUCUGAAUCUCUGCUCCACCACUUAUGUCCCAGCUCUGAGAGCAGGGUGAGCAUCUUCAACCUCAGUUUGCCUGUCAGCAAAAUGGAGAUAACUCCCAAGCACGUGGUGAUGCUAAGAAAGAUAACAAGACUGAGAUGUGCCCCGUGAAUGCUGGUUAGAUCUGAAUGGAGAAGGAUGUGGGACGGUGGACCACCAGCCCCUCACCUGUUCCGAAAGCAAAGCUUGCAAAGCAAGACAGGGCCAGAUAUUCCGUUUCCUAGUUCGCAGCUGAUUCCUGGCUGGCUGUGUCUCCUGGCUCCCUACAAUGCUGGAAUUGUAUAUUUGGGCGAAGCCAAAACAGGUUUUGAGACUUGAAGUUAUAGGACACCAGGACAAGAUACUGAGGGACAUGGGAGAUAAGGAAUUUCCAUCCCUGGAAUCUGAGAACGUGAGAGCCGGCAGGGUCCUUGGGAAUCAGCUGGCCUCAUCUCCUCAGGUUACAGAUGGGAGACUGGGGCCCAGAGAAGGAGAGAGACUGCUCAAGGUCACACAGCCAGUUUGGGCAGAACCAGGACCAGAACCCAAGGAAAGUGCAGGCAAAGUUCAGGGAAGAUGCCAAAUUCUCCCAAAUUCCCUACGCAGUAGGGAGAAAAAAAAGGAUCUCUUCCUUCUGGGUUGUUCAAAUUUAGAAAAAAAUACCUGUUUCUCUUUGCCUGGCUUUCAUGACAGAGCACACAGACAUAAUGGAUUGCCUUUUUCUUCUAAUCUUGGGGACUGUGGGAUCCCCACCCUUCCCUUUCACGGCAGACACAGCUCUGAGCUUUUAGCACCCAAAUAUCCGAAGAUCCACGAUGUGCCCAGGCCCCAAGUCACGGCUACUCACCGUCGGCCCCAAUCUUGCCGUCCCCAUCCUUGUCUCCAGCAGCCAGCAGCGUCUUGGUUUCCUUAGUAGUCAGGUCUCGGGCAUCCGGGAGGAAGCCCUUCAGGAUGAAUCUGGGGAGAGAAGCCGGGGAGGGAGUCAGGUCAAGGUCACCUUGCAGGAGCGCCGCACGGAUGGUGGGCUGGCAUCUGCGCAGGGGAAGUGGGCAGCUGGGCCGGGCGGCAGCAGCCAGCAUGCAUGCAGCUGUGCUGAGCCAGGUAGCCCGGGCUGUGGCUGUGCCUUUGUGGGUGGGUGUGCAGGGAAGGACAGGCUGUCCUCACCGGAGGGUUGACCUCACUCCAGGCAAGGAGUUUUGUUUAUUUUUUUAUCUGUUUAUUUUUUCAGCCAACACAACAAACACAAAAGUGUCUUCUCUGUGCCAGGGCCAUGCUGGAAACUGGGGGCACAGAGAUGAUCUCAGGAAGCUGCCUGAAAACAAGAAGAGGAGGUCAAGUACUCCAAGACACCACACAGUGUGAGGGAUACAGUGAUGGGGAAGCAGAGAAGGUGCACAAAGGAGGCAUCCAUCCCACCUGGGGUGAGGGGAAGACUCAGGGGGGCUUCCUAGAGAAGGGGAUGGCUGGAGGGCAGGUAGAAGUCAGCCUCUGUGUGUGUGUGCACAUUGGGCGUGGGUGGGUAGAAGGAGAAGGUUCUAGACAAAGGGUACCCUUGUGGGAUGCUUUGGGAUGAGAGUGGAUGGAUGGGGAAGUGUCUACUUGAAAGGCCCCUCUCCACACUCUCCCCUUUCUCUUUGUGGCAAAACUCAAGGCAGUCUUGGCCAGAGAGUGACAUAAGGCACAGCUGGGCGGGCAGACACAGGCCAGGUGGCCAAGGGGGUGAUGGCAGGAGGUUCCUUUGCUGAUGCACUCUUGCAUUUUCCUGUCAUAGGCUCUCUCCCUCAGCUCUGCUCCCAGGACUCCUGAGUCCCCACAGCUGGUUCUGCAUCCCUGGCUUGCCCAGAAACUGCUCUGGCCGCCCUGGUUCGGAAGGGUGGGGGUCUGCGGGAUGGCAAAGGUGCCUUUCAGACAAAUGAAAAUCAACGACAUACUCAAGCAAGCGCUCUCUGUCUUGCCUGUGGUGUUAGGCAGCGAGAAAACCUGCCUCCUCAUUGGUAUUAAAUUAUUAAGUAGCAUCAUUCCAUUAGCAAUAUUAAGUGCCUAUAAUUUAACCCAGUUAGUUGCACUUUCUGCUGAGGAUUUUACCCUUCCAGAAGCGACAGCGGCCGUGCUCUGUUAUUUUCUGUGAAAAGUGCAGAGAGAGGGCAGACCUGCCAGGAACUCAGAAGCAGGAGUCCCAACCCCCACUCCCUCUCGUGGAGCCUCGGGCUGGGCGGCCCCUGCAGGCCUCAGUUUACCCCAGCUCUUCCUCCUCGAUGAAGCCGCUCUUGUCUUUAUCCAGGAUGUGGAACACCUUCUUCACAUCAUCCGGGCUCUUUUUCUUCAGGCCCACCAUUUGGAAGAACUUUUUGUGGUCGAAGGAUUCUGCAGCUGUUGGGGGGCAAGGAGUGGGAUAAAAUGAGGACAAAGAGGAGGCAGUGGGGAAGGAGGGGAGAAGGGAGGCAUCUGGCAGCAUCUGUCCAUUGACUCCUCUGUGCCCGUCCUGGGGGACGGAGGGCAUGCGCCUCCACGGGAGGGCUGAGGGACCCCAAACCAGGACGGGGUGCUUUGCCCAAGGUCACACAGCUCGAGGCAGCAGAGGUGGGCUUGCACGCGGAUCUCCCUGGCUCCCAAGCCUGCCCCCACCUUCCUCGGGACCCUUUGCUGAUGGUGGACGUAGCCGUUGAAGGCAGAGGGCUUCCUGGUGUCCACGAAACCUUUGGGUGGUGGCUGAGUGGGAGUGGGCUGGGGAACUGGAGGUGGUGUGAACACGGUGUGUGUGUGGGGGGCGUGGGGAGGGUCGACCUUUUUUCUUGGCCACAGAUUGUGUUGCCAGAAAAUUGACACAGAAAGGACAAGUUUCUUUCAAGGUCACACAGUGGGAGGAGGAGGGGGAGGACCCAGAACUCCUAGUUUGCUGUAGAAAUCCAUUCUGGUGGGAGUUGGGGGUGGGGGGGGGGUGUUGGAAGGCUCCCCAGGAAUUCCAAGUUAAGUUUCUUCUCAAAGGGAGGAAGGUGGGUUAUAGAGAAGUGGGUGGGCUAUUGCAGCCCCCUUGGAGGGGGAGCCAGGCAGAAAGAAAAUGAGUCCCUCUCCCCAAUUUUCUGUGUCCUGAGAUCCUUUAUAAGAACACCUGGGAACAGGCACAAUGUUAGACGGAGUAGCGUAUGUGAGUAGGGGAGGGGGUCAUGUUCUCCCUUCAGCUCCAGGCUGGAUGUAAGGAAAGUUGCUCUGACGCUAGGGUGGGGGACUACGACCCCCAUCCUAAUCCCCCUUCUGCAGAGCUAGGUGACCUUGGGCAAGUUUUUAGCCCUCUCAGAGCCUCAGUUUCCCCCUCCGGGUGAUGGGAGGCAGGAGGAAGGUAGGCAGCCAAGCGCUCAAGCCCAGAGCAGCUCACAGAGGUGAGACUGCCGGCUCCGCUGCCUCGGCUGCCUAAGGAGGCUGAAGGUUACAAGCGCUAAGGAUGCCCAGCACGGGGUCGGGCAGAGCAGAGGGCCAGCUGUCGGAAGGUCACCUCGCUCGUGGGUCCGUUUGGGGAGGGGGGACUCUGAGCCCCAAAGAGGAGGCUUGGACAGUUGGGGAGCCAGCAAAGGCCACCGUUGGGGGAGCAGAGUCCUGUCUAGAAUGGGGGUCUUGGAAGGGGGUCGCUUGGAGAGAAGGUGUGCGCACCUGCAGCCCCCUCCAAGGGCCUUAAAGGGGAAGUCCCGAGCGCUCACAGGGACCCGGAGACCCUGCUUUCCACCCUGGUCUUCGCCCUUGGUCGGGGACCCCAGUCCUCGCAGCGUGGGCACCCAGCCUUCGGCGCCUGCAAGUUUCGGUCUUCUGGUAGGGCACCGGGCCUCCCUGCCUCCUCCCUGGGCCACGUCCCGCCCGGUCCGAGUUGGAAAAUGCUGAGGACCCCCCUCCCAGCCCGGCCAGCGCCCCGCGGGAUACGUGGGCAGAGGAGCGCUGGGGAGGACCGCACGUCCGCGCAGCCCGCGGGGGUGCGGGGGCCAAGGUGGUGGAUGAGGGAAGGGAGCUGGGGAGGGGAGCGCGCUGCUCACCGGUAAAGGCCCCCACUGCCUUCUUGAUGUCCUCAGCGUGGAGCAAGUCUGUCAUCGACAUCCUGCAACUGUUUGAGCGGGCAGAGCAAGUGUGAAAAGAUUAAAAAGUGCUUUUCUCAUCAUUUCUGCUCAUAUGACCAGCGCUGCAGUGCUGCGCGCCGGGCGCACGCCCGCCGGCCUGGCGCAGAGCCAGGGGGCGCGGGGCUCGGCGCGCAGCCAGAGCUGCUCAGUCCCGCCGAGCCACUGGGCUGCGCGGGCCGGGCGGGCUGGCGUCCCGCGGCCGAUCCUUCCCCGCCCCCGCCGAGGGUCCUCGGGACCCCAGGGGCUGCGGCUGGGGAGCCAGAGCAAGGGGCGGCCUCUGGAAUUUACGGGGCGCCAGCGUCACCAGCCGGGUCUGGAGGGUUCGCCUGCCGUCAAGGGCGCGCAGGAGGCACCGGCUUGGUGCAGCGCAGUCCCGGGUCGACGCACCUCGGAGGAUGUCGCGCCGCUUCUGGGAGGAUACUGACCGGCCGGGGCCAGGCCUGCACCCUCGUGGGCCCCUCGGCCCUGUUCCCAUUCUCUCUCUGCUCCUACCUCAGCCUCGGCUCUUGUCUGUCCUGGAUGCAAAUUUAUGCUGCAAAAUCUGAGCUCUGAGGUCUGGAAACCCGACCCACGGGACGCUGGGAGAGGGUGGCACGGAUAGGCCGGCGCUGCUGGGGCCCCCUGCAGGUGCCCCAUCCCACAUCUGGCCAGGAUGCACGUUCUGAAUCCUGAUUUUUUUAAUUUUUUUUUCCUAUUGCUAGUCUGACUUUUCGAAGAUCUCUUCUCAGAUCCCCCCUAACUACUUUCCUGGUCUCCUGGGCCCCAGAGGAUUGCGCCUGGUCCAGACGCCUCCUGCCCCACAAAGCUUUGAGGGAGGGGGAGGUGGGAAAGACUACUUGGAAUCUCCAUGCAGCCUCACCCCACUUGGAGAGCAGACGGCCCAUGUCUGGGGAGAAGGUGGCACAUUCACUUUUUAGACAACGGAAGCAGAUUUCAUGGCCUGAAUUGCGUCUCUGGGAAACAUGACACUUCCUAAUCUUUGUGCAGCCAGAGACCAAUUGCAUUCUUUCCCACGGUCUCCCAAGGACUCAGGCUGCAACCGGCUGCCUCUAGAGUGUGUGGAGCACUGGACAGGGAGUCAGGAGGCUGGGGUUCUAGAUUUGGGGCUGCACUAAAUCCUUGUGUGACCUUGGGUGGUGACCUUCCCCGUUUCUGGGCUUCUGCCUCCCUCCGUUGUGUUGAUGGUGUUGUGGUCCCUUGUGGUGGAACCUUGAGACCUCAACUCAAGAUGUGGGCAGGCGGUCAGGGGCUGACACUGGUGGCCUUUGGCGGGCUGGAGAGAGCUGCCCAGCUGUCCGUUAGCUCCGGUUGCCCGGCCUUGGCUGUCCACACUGUCUGCCUCGGCUCGGCCCUGGACGGCUGCCCUCCUGGAAACCCUAGGACACCGCUGGCUCAGGCUGUCCCCCUCCCUGUGAGUCAGCUUCUUCAGGCACCAGCCCACCAGCGGCUUCCAAGGCGCCAAGGCUGCAGACCUGGCCUCCCGGCACGAGACCUUCCCCAGACACCUCGGCUGCCCCUGCUGCCCCGACCCCAGCUGGGCUGUUAACUCCAACAUGCUGGGCUUCUGUGCUAUCAUUUCAGCCCCUGGGCUCGGCUCAGUCAAGGCGCCUAGCUGAGGAUCUGUUUCCCCGGGUGAAGGAUCCUUAUUCUACGCUGGUGGGGAGACUGAGGCCAGAGAGAGUCAGUGAAUGGCUUGAGGAUGCACAGCGAGGCACUGGCAGAGAGGGGCCCACUCCCAGGUCGACUGACUUGGAGUUCAGGGACCCGCUCCCCGGAGCUCCUCCCCAGGGCUCAGGGCGCAGCCCCAUCAAGUCCCACGUGUCUGAGCCACAGACGAGCUCCUGGAGAGUCCCAGACAGGGGCCCCUGUGGCAACGGCUGGAGCCUCCACAGAGGCGCGUCCUUCUCCCUCCUUCGUCCAUCUCUCCCUGCUGCCUUCCAUCAACUGGACGCUUUCAGGCCCCAGUCCAUCCACCAAGUGUCAGACAAUAUUGUCAGCUCAACCGUCAGCCCUGCACACUCCUUCCUCCUGCCUCCUCUGCCCACUCAGCUCGUGGGCCCCCUCUGAUGGCAUCACCGGAGUCCACAGAUGUCAGGCUCCAUCCCUCUUGUUCUACAGGUGGGAAGCUGAGGCCCAGCCAGCGGGAGGGAUUUGCCUCAGGUCACCUUGGGAGACAGGAUGGACAGCACAAGAAUCCCGUGCUCUCAGGCCUGGACUCCACAGCUGCCUACCUCUGGGCAUCCCCUCCCCCAGCCCUUGUCUCACUGUCCCUUCCAGCUGGCUUCCUCCCCACUGCCUCCCUGCAUCCUCCUCCAGCCUCCAUAGCUGCCACUCACCUCGGGUGGGGGUGGAGGGCUGGAACUGCACCGGAAGGCUGGGUUGGUGGGAGGUCCUGUUGGGAAGUGAGCCUGGUGGUGGGACGGCCACCUAUAUAGGCUUCUGCUCUGGCUAUUUUGGGAGGUGGCGCUCCCCCCGGCCCGCAGCCCCCUCCCCUUCCGGUGUCAGGUACUCCCCAACGAUGGUGCUGGGUGUCUGUAUCACAUUCGCCCGCCCUGGGCCCAUCAAGCCAGGCCUAUUAAUAACCCUUGGCCCCUGCCCUCCUCCAGCACCCAAAGCUGAAGCUCAGGCGGGGCUUUUCUCUUCCGCGAAGACUUCCAUGACCUCUUUAGACGGCAGUGACGUUUCUGUGCUCCAAAAUCCUGCAAGGAAAGGAAGAGAAAAGCCUCACAGUGCGGGCCUGGUCCCUCGUGCGUGGAUGGGGAGACAGCACAAAGACGUGAGGUGUUACGUGACUUACUACUCAAAGCCUGGACCUGGAGCCGGGAGUGGAUCCAGCUCUUUCAUAAGAUGAUCUGGUGCCUGGCCGACGACUAGCUCUGCAUGUUCUCUGACACGUCCCUUUGUCUCUUUGCGUCUCAGUCUCCCCAUCCAUAAAACGAGCUCAAUCAGGGGCAACCUUUGCUCUGUAGAUGGGCUUGGGGGGCUAUGAACCCGCUGAAAUGAUACGCAAAAUUCACAUAGGUAAACAAAGGCCCAUAGUUUUCACGAGAUUUGCAAAGCAACCUCUGGCGUUGUCUGUCUUGGAUUGGAGAUGACCAUCCAGAGGGUGUGUUUCGAAAAGCAUGAAUGAAUGAAUGAAUGAAUUUAACAAAUAUUUAUUGAGCGUCUAGUAUGGACCCCGCGAGAGGUUUCUCUCCUCAUCCCCAACCUUAGAAAGAAUCU